rnacentral:rRNA from 1 species
UACGGAGGGUGCAAGCGUUAUCCGGAUUCACUGGGUUUAAAGGGUGCGUAGGCGGGUAAGUAAGUCCGUGGUGAAAUCUCUGAGCUUAACUCAGGAACUGCCGUGGAUACUAUUUGCCUUGAAUAUUGUGGAGGUGAGCGGAAUAUGUCAUGUAGCGGUGAAAUGCUUAGAUAUGACAUAGAACACCAAUUGCGAAGGCAGCUCACUACACAAUCAUUGACGCUGAGGCACGAAAGCGUGGGGAUCAAACAGG